UGGCACAUAGUGAAGUGGUAAACACAUCAGAUUUUGACUCUGAUAGCGUAGGUUCAAAUCCUACUGUGCCAG
rnacentral:tRNA from 1 species